rnacentral:lncRNA from 1 species
CAAGUACCGUGACACGUCUUAUCGCAAUGUGAAUUUACACUCAAAAAUAAGAGAAAACAAACGACACAACGUUAUCAUGUAAUACACACAGAAACGAACUAUAAUAUAACAAUUACCAUAUUCCUGACUUGGUACAGGGCAUUUUUAAAGGAAAAAAUGGUGGGUUGAACCUGGUUUUGUGGCAUGCCAAACCUCGCACUUUU